rnacentral:tRNA from 1 species
GGCGUAGCUCAAUUGGUAGAGCAGCUGAUUUGUAAUCAGCAGGUUGCGGGUUCAAGUCCCUUCGCC